UUAGGGUGAUGUGUAUUGUGGCUAAUCGACUUCUCACGACUUACACUCUCUAUUGCAUCUCUCUCAUCUCUUUCAAAUAAGACGUUCGCCGGAAAUCGCUCCGCCGCGCCGGAGGCGGCGAAGUUCGCCCUAUCUAGCAAUUGAACCCACCGGAACAUCGCCCUAACGCUCCUCUAUCCUCGCCUGUCCUCAGUUCCAAAAAAAAUCAACCUAUUGCUCUAAAUCGGGACAUGAGGUGAACCCUAGAUCUAAUCAGCGGAGGAAUUUAAACGUGAACGACUAUCAAACCUAAGAUACGGCCAUGGGGGAAACAUUUAGGGAGUCUCAAUCUACCUCACAAUAAAGAGGCGGUGCGAAGAAGAACGAAAAGAUGGAGCUUACCUGGACUCGUCGGAGAAGAAAGAUUAAAGAAUUCCGGCGGGGCUUCCGAGUUGAUCUGUGUACCGCGAAUCCUUCAGCUUGAGAAUCUCGUGACGAUAAUGAUGAAGGUGAGUUGAAGAUGAACCGAAGGAGAAAUUGAAGAUUCUGUUAUGAUGAGUUGAAGGUGAUGAAGAUGAUGAAUUCAGAGAGAGUGCGUGAGUUGAAAGCUUGAUGAGAGGUUGCAGCGGCGGAGGAUGUGGUGAGGUUGUGGCUGAGCUCAAUUGAUAAGAGCUUCAGAUGUUGAAGCUCUACCAAUGGUGGAUUCGUGAGCUUUUAGUGGAGGUAAGGGAGAGAGAAUGAUUAUGGUGUAGCAGUGGUGGAGAAUUGAAGGUGGUUGAGAGAUUGAAUUAUGGAGGAGAAGAAGUAGUGAAGAUGAAGAAUGGGAGUGAAGUGAAGAUGGUGAUGAAGUGUGAAAAAUGGUGAAGACCCCUUGAAGCUGAGUGAAGGUUCAGUUAUAUAGAGUUUCAGGUUUGUAACAGGUUUUUCCUUGGUGGAUUUGUAUGAUGCAGGGACUGUCUCAUUGUUGCAAAUUUGGAAAUGACUUGCGGUUUUGCGGGAGUUCGGUUCAGCUUGAAUUUGCUUCUUGAGUGUACCAAAUUAUUGAAAGUUAUGGGAUUUUCCGUCAAGUCGCUCUUUUGUUCUUCUAAACUGAUGCCAUUUUCCUUUUAUGCAGGGGCUGGCUGUUCCAUUAGUGAUGCAACUGGUUUUAAGGGUCAAGUGAUGACUCAGUCUACAUGUUAUUUGGUAAGGUAAAUAGGUUAGAGGAUUGGAUCCUGAAGUAUGAGGUUUGGGUUUUAAUCCCAAGUACAAACUGUCUUGAGGGGUAUAGAUAUAUAAAGAUUGCAUUUAAAUUGGUGGACAUGUCUUGAGUUUUAUAUGGUUUGGAACUGAGAUAAAUUGGUAUUGAUGUAGGGGCACUGUUUUUGAAAUGUGUGAAUGGACUGUUGGUGUUUAGAUGUAGAUGUAUGUUUAGAAAUUUGGAUUUUUUUGAAUGGUGAAUGCUGUUUUGAGCUCCCCUCUUUGAAUUGGUUUUUCUGGUUCUUUUUCUUUUAUGAAUUGCUGCAAGUUUGUGAACUGGUUCAGUGUGUUUGGUGCAGGUCUUUUGGUUACCUUUGUUAUUAUUGUGUGCAGCAAGGAGCUAGAAAUUGCGGAACACAGUUUAACUUGGAGUUAGCUCAGGGGUAGCAAGCUGGGUUAUGGGCAUGGCCAUGUAGAUGAAAGAACAAGAAGUUAAAGGGAGGAUACUCGGGUUUGGUUGAGAUGACAUGGCGAUGAAGCUCGGUGAUCCUACUUGCGACGCCUAAAGCAAAGAAUUCUUCUGUGUAAUUUUUGUUGUUAUGCAGUAAGAGUAAAAAUGUAAUAAUAGUGAUACUCAGUUAGAUGAAUACACCUUAUGAAUAGUAUUUACACAUGGCAGACUUGAAAUUGUAAAAACCUUCUUUUGAAUUCCAACUUUGAAAA